UGCUGUAAUAAGUCGAUUUGAGCACAUAGACCAAAUCAUUGUGUUGAUCAGCCAAUUGGGCAAUAUUUGAUGAUUUGAAUGAUCCCAUGCACACCACCAGGUGUCGACAACUGAGAAGGAAAUUAUAUGCUCUGUUUUUUAAUAGAGUGCAGAGACUGCUUCUGAAGGAGCACGAUUUUUGUGACGGAGCUAGCAGGAUACAAGAAGCAUUUUUUUUGUGCCCGGUCAAAAGUCAAUAGGCCCGGUUGUUGAGUACUUGAGUUGGAAGGUGCCAUGCGGAUAGAUUAUCGAGUCUAUGAUAGUGGACGAAAGGGUACUUCCUGAUAAAGUUUUGAGACCAUCCACCGUUAGAUUUUUUUUUCUCUAUUCAGAGAUAGUCAUGUUUUAUGA
rnacentral:lncRNA from 1 species